AAAGACAAUGGAUAGACAUAUCUUCUCGGAUUUUGAAAUACCAGCCGGAUCUUUUUCUGUCUUUAUGGUAAUCACUCUAGUAAUGUGGAUUGCCUUUUAUGAUCGUGCUCUCGUGCCAAUAAAGGCCAGAUAUACAGGACAGCCAGGAGGCUUAAGCCCCGUUCUUCGUAUGGGAAUUGGUUUAGUUCUCUCUGCUGCAGCGAUGGUACUUUCAGCGAUAACAGAAGGCAUAAGACGGGGCAUAGCAAUUGAUCAGAAAGUUCCACAAGACGUUCCAAAUAUAAACAUGUCGGCUAUGUGGUUUGUUCCACAGUACGUGCUUCUUGGACUAGCUGACGCUUUCAAUGCAAUCGGGUUGGUAGAGUUCCUUUACUCUGAACUUCCAAAAAGCAUGUCUAGUUUUGUUGUGGCUAUUUUCACACUUGGAAUGUCAGUAUCUGGCUUUUUUGGGAGUCUUUUAGUGAAUGUUGUGGAUAAUGUUACUUCAUAUGGAGGUGGUGUUAGCUGGUUGUCAAGUAAUAUUAACAAUGGUCAUUUAGAUUAUUACUACUGGUUACUUGCUUUUCUCAAUGUUGUAAACUUCCUAUAUUUUCUUCUCAUAAUUUGUCGAUGUAAUCGCCAUGAGCGCGAAUACAGUACUCAGAAAGCUUGAUGUAUAUGUACAUAUAUGUAUGAUAAGG
rnacentral:misc_RNA from 1 species